rnacentral:rRNA from 1 species
GACGAACGCUGGCGGCGUGCUUAACACAUGCAAGUCGAACGGAAAGGCCCUGCUUUUGUGGGGUGCUCGAGUGGCGAACGGGUGAGUAACACGUGAGUAACCUGCCCUUGACUUUGGGAUAACUUCAGGAAACUGGGGCUAAUACCGGAUAGGAGCUCCUGCUGCAUGGUGGGGGUUGGAAAGUUUCGGCGGUUGGGGAUGGACUCGCGGCUUAUCAGCUUGUUGGUGGGUAGUGGCUUACCAAGACUUUGACGGGUAGCCGGCCUGAGAGGGUGACCGGCCACAUUGGGACUGAGAUACGGCCCAGACUCCUACGGGAGGCAGCAGUGGGGAAUAUUGCACAAUGGGCGGAAGCCUGAUGCAGCAACGCCGCGUGCGGGAUGACGGCCUUCGGGUUGUAAACCGCUUUCGCCUGUGACGAAGCGUGAGUGACGGUAAUGGGUAAAGAAGCACCGGCUAACUACGUG